rnacentral:rRNA from 1 species
AUUGAACGCUGGCGGCAUGCCUUACACAUGCAAGUCGAACGGCAGCGGGGACUUCGGUCCGCCGGCGAGUGGCGAACGGGUGAGUAACGUAUCGGAACGUACCUUUCAGUGGGGGAUAACGUAGCGAAAGUUACGCUAAUACCGCAUAUUCUGUGAGCAGGAAAGCAGGGGAUCGCAAGACCUUGCGCUGAUUGAGCGGCCGAUAUCAGAUUAGCUAGUUGGUGAGGUAAAGGCUCACCAAGGCGACGAUCUGUAGCGGGUCUGAGAGGAUGAUCCGCCACACUGGAACUGAGACACGGUCCAGACUCCUACGGGAGGCAGCAGUGGGGAAUUUUGGACAAUGGGGCGAACCCUGAUCCAGCCAUGCCGCGUGAGUGAAGAAGGCCU